rnacentral:rRNA from 1 species
CGUCUAGGCGGUUUGGUAAGUCUGAUGUGAAAAUGCGGGGCUCAACUCCGUAUUGCGUUGGAAACUGCCAAACUAGAGUACUGGAGAGGUAGGCGGAACUACAGGUGUAGAGGUGAAAUUCGUAGAUAUUUGUAGGAAUGCCGAUGGGGAAGCCAGCCUACUGGACAGAUACUGACGCUAAAGCGCGAAAGCGUGGGUAGCAAACA